GUCUCAGGAGGAAGCGGAGCAGUCCAAAUGUUUUUGAGAUGGCAGCAACGGAAACCAUAACGAGCAUCAUCUUGAUUAAGCUCAUUAGGGUUAGCCUCGGUACGGUCAGGCAUCCACGGCGCUUUAAAAUAGUUGUUAUAGAUAUUCAAAUAACCCUGAAACAAAUGCUUAGGGAUUUUAUUGGUAUCAGGGUUAAUCGUGCCAAGAAAAGCGGCAUGGUCAAUAUAACCAGUAGUGUUAACAGUCGGGAGAGGAGUGGCAUUAACACCAUCCUUCAUGAACUUAAUCCACUGUUCACCAUAAACGUGACGAUGAGGGACAUAAAAAGUAAAAAUGUCUACAGUAGAGUCAAUAGCAAGGCCACGACGCAAUGGAGAAAGACGGA
rnacentral:rRNA from 1 species